rnacentral:rRNA from 1 species
ACGACGCUGGCGGCGUGCCUAAUACAUGCAAGUCGAGCGCGGGAAGCGGACUCGUCACCCUUCGGGGUGUCUAGUCCGUGGAACGAGCGGCGGAUGGGUGAGUAUCACGUGGGCAACCUGCCCGUAAGAUUGGGAUAACUCGCGGAAACGUGAGCUAAUACCGAAUGAAGUCUUUCACCACCUGGUGAAAGGAUGAAAGAUGGCUUUUAGCUAUCACUUACAGAUGGGCCCGCGGCGCAUUAGCUAGUUGGUGGGGUAAAGGCCUACCAAGGCGACGAUGCGUAGCCGACCUGAGAGGGUGAUCGGCCACACUGGGACUGAGACACGGCCCAGACUCCUACGGGAGGCAGCAGUAGGGAAUCUUCCGCAAUGGACGAAAGUCUGACGGAGCAACGCCGCGUGAAGUGAUGAAGGUCUUCGGAUCGUAAAACUCUGUUGUCAGGGAAGAACAAGUUGUGUUCUAACAGGACAUGACCUUGACGGUACCUGACCAGAAAGCCCCGGCUAACUACGUGCCAGCCGCCGC